AUGAGGGGUGCUGUAGCUCUGCUUGUGUUGCUGUUCUGUCUGUCUGGAACAUGGCCUCAGGAGGAGAGUGGAGGGUGUUCUGUUUGUCUGGGGCAUGGACUCAGGAGGAGAGAGGAGGGUGUUCUGUCUGUCUGGAACAUGGACUCAGGAGGAGAGAGGAGGGUGUUCUGUCUGUCUGGAACAUGGACUCAGGAGGAGAGUGUUCUGUCUGUCUGGACUCAGGAGGAGAGUGGAGGGUGUUCUGUCUGUCUGGAACAUGGACUCAGGAGGAGAGUGGAGGGUGUUCUGUCUGUCUGGGACAUGGACUCAGUAGGAGAGUGGAGGGUGUUCUGUCUGUCUGGAACAUGGACUCAGGAGGAGAGAGAGGAGGGUGUUCUGUCUGUCUGGAACAUGGACUCAGGAGGAGAGAGGAGAGGUCAGAGAGAAAGACAUCACUCAACGGACAGGGGAACAGAAUAUGGUGAGUGAAUUUCAGAUAAAGAACUGAAGCUACAGGCACGACCAAACCACCUGAUGUCAGGGCUGAGCUGAGAGCGUUGAGAGACAUGUUGGUUGAACAGAGAGUGGAGCUGUGGAAUAUGGGAAUAUGGCCAGACUGUAAGCCAGUGAAAGUCAGAACACAGGUAGUGUAGAAAAGCUUAUUCUUGAAUUAGUGGGAGAAUCAAUAUGAUUAAUAAAGUUGAAUUGGAUUGACUGCCAGUGAGAGUGAAAAUGCAAAUAUGAUAAAGUGUAUCAGUUCACGUUCUACAGGGGGUUGGUCAUUUAAUGUGUCUCUCAGUUUCAACCUGUUGGUACUAGGGGGCAGUAUUUUCAUUUUUGGAAAAAUAAUGUUCCCAAAUUAAAUGGGAUAUUUUGUCAGGACAAGAUGCUAGAAUAUGCAUAUAAUUGACAGCUUAUGAUAGAAAACACUCUAAACUGUAAAAAUAUUGUCUGUGAGUAUAACAUAACUGAUGUUACAGGCGAAAAAUCCAAUCUGGAAGUGACUCAUCUUUUGAAAGCCCUGUGUUCCGAUGAGUCCCUAUUGAGCUGUGAAUGCCCUAUCAACCAGAUUACGCUUUCUACGUAUUCCCCAAGGUGUCUACAGCAUUGUGACGUAGUUUUACGCAUUUAUGUCGAAGAAUACCCGUAGGCGGCUUCAUUGCGCAAGUGGUCACCUGAUGCUCCCAGAGAAAUUCUUGCGUAAAAUAAAGAGGUAGCCAUUAUUCCAAUCGCUUCUACUGAGAAACCAAUUGUCCCGGUUGAUAUAUUAUCGAAUAGAUAUUUGAAAACACCUUGAGGAUUGAUUAUAAACAACGUUUGCCAUGUUUCUGUCGAUAUUAUGGAGCUAAUUUGGAAUGUUUUUCGGUGUUGUCCUGACCGCAAUUUCCGGUCGAUUUCUCAGCCAAACGUGAAGAACAAACGGAGCUAUUUCGCCUACAAAAAUAAUAUUUUGGGAAAAAAUGAACUUUGGCUAUCUACCUGGGAGUCUCCUGAGUGAAAACAUUCAAAGUUCUUUAAAGGUAAACGAUUUAAUUUGAUUGCUUUUCUGAUUUCCGUGACAAGGUUGCCUGCUGCUAGCAAGGCAUAAUGCUAUGCUAGGCUAUCGAUAAACUUACACAAAUGCUUGUCUAGCUUUGGCUGUAAAACAUAUUUUGAAUAUCUGAGAUGACAGGGUGAUUAACAAAAGGCUAAGCUGUGUUCCAAUAUCUUUCACUUGUGAUUUUCAUGAAUAGGAAUAUUUUCUAGGAAGAUUUAUGUCCGUUGCUUUAUGCUAAUUAGAGUCAGAUGAUGACAACGGUCCCGUUCACCGGUGUCACUAGAUUAACUGUGAGGUAACCAGUGUUUCUGCUGAUAUCAUUCUAGCAUUGGCAGCAAGACUGAGUGAGAGGAAGGUGGAGGAGCUAAAUACCAAGAAUACUGGCAAUGUAUUUUAUUUAAUAUGACAGAACAUGCCUUUAUAGAAAGCAAUGAAAUACAUGUUGAGUACAAAUGUGAAGGAAGAUGCCGUAUGCAGAUUUGAGUCAAAAUGAAAAUCGGUAAUUUCUUUGGCCACCAGAAAUGUAAAUAGUGUAUAUUGUUCCUCAUUGUAUCAUAGAAUGAAAAUGAAGGGCAAGGAGGAGGAGGUAAAGAGAGGUGAAACUGUCUGAAAACUUCACUUCCCAUGUUGUUCAAUCAUGGUAUUGGAGAAUUUCUCUUCACUCUCAAAAAACACCUCAUUAGAAACUAAGUAGGUUUAAUAAGUAAAGAUCUUUUCUAAAUCGGAAUUUCUACGUGUUUUCAUUGAAUUGUCCUAAAUAAGUAUACUUUCUCUCCUGUGUUCACAAGACGGACCGAAGGUGGCCUUCUAUGCGGCUUUGACUGAUUCAGGAGCAGUAGGACCCUUCAGUUCUGAAACCAGAUCUACACCAAAGUCUUCACCAAUAUAGGCAAUGCCUUACCGCCAACAUACAGGUAGCCAACUUUUACUAAACGUACUGCCCAAUAUCAAACCGAUCCCUGGCCUCAACCACUAGCCCCUUUAUAGAGGCUUUGACAUUAGACUGUUGAUCAAUAUGGACUGCAUCCAUAUCGAUUGUGCUAUUUUCCUUGUAUAUGUCCAUGUUUGCAUUAGGGCUUUUUCCCUCCAUUAAGCUCAACUGCAGCUUUGACUGACAUUUUCCUCUUCUUAGCUCAUCCCCAUUAGCUACAACCAAAAAUCUUGUGGCCACAAUUUAAAAGGUUGUUCCCUCUCUUCACAGCACCGGGGAGCACCGGCCUCUGAUCAUCGCAAUAACUUUUUUUUAAUGACAUUUUUUUCCAGUCGGAUAAUCACUCCAAACAGCCUACCCGACCACUCUGAGGCGUCCGCAUGGUCCUAAAGCACACCAUUGCCUCGUUUUGUAUCACACUCCAAUGAUGAAACUGGGGGGGGGGGUGCAAUUUCAGACUGUCCGCCCCGUCCCCAGUGAAAGUUGCACCCCUGGAUGCAAUAGUUAAAGCGGUUUGGGUAACAAACACAUUAUUUUAUGGUACUGUUGUUUCUAGUGGUUUUACCAGUUUUGAGCCUAUUCCAGAUGUAGAAACAAUAUUUAAAACCUCUUAAGUCAAGGUAGGGCUAGACUUUAUGUACAUGUGUAUGUGCGUGUAUGUGUACCUGCCUGCUUGUGAGCUGAGACCCAGAGAGAGCGGUAGAGGUAUCAGAUAGCCAAUACGUUUUCCUUGACUGGCUACCGUACCUGAACAAUACACAGCCUGUUAUGGUGGCUAGGCUACAUCUUUAAUCUCAGCCCAGGCAGAGCAGGGGACAGGGAGUAUCCACUCUCCUUGGCAAGGCCUCCCACCAGACUUCCACACAGAGACACUCUGUCUGCGUCACUCUUUUAAAUUAGAGAGAUUGCUGGGAUAUG
rnacentral:lncRNA from 13 species